rnacentral:rRNA from 1 species
GACAGAGGGGGCAAGCGUUGUUCGGAAUUACUGGGCGUAAAGGGCGCGUAGGCGGCCUUCUAAGUCGAACGUGAAAUCCCCGGGCUCAACCCGGGAACUGCGUCCGAUACUGGAAGGCUUGAAUCCGGGAGAGGGAUGCGGAAUUCCAGGUGUAGCGGUGAAAUGCGUAGAUAUCUGGAGGAACACCGGUGGCGAAGGCGGCAUCCUGGACCGGCAUUGACGCUGAGGCGCGAAAGCCAGGGGAGCAAAGCGGG